CAGCCGCCGCGGGAAUACGAAGGGGGCUAGCGUUGCUCGGAAUCACUGGGCGUAAAGCGCACGUAGGCGGAUUUUUAAGUCAGGGGUGAAAUCCCGAGGCUCAACCUCGGAACUGCCUCUGAUACUGGAGAUCUUGAGUUCGGAAGAGGUUGGUGGAACAGCUAGUGUAGAGGUGAAAUUCGUAGAUAUUAGCUAGAACACCAGUGGCGAAGGCGGCCAACUGGUCCGACACUGACGCUGAGGCGCGAAAGCGUGGGGAGCAAACAGGAUUAGAUACCCCUGUAGUCCCUGUCUCUUAUAC
rnacentral:rRNA from 1 species